AUCCAGCUGACGAGUCUUAAAUAAGACGAAACUUACGUCCUGGAU
rnacentral:hammerhead_ribozyme from 1 species